rnacentral:rRNA from 1 species
GAGGAAUUUUUCACAACGGACGAAAGUCUGAUGGAGCAAUACCACGUGAACGAUGAAGGUCUUCUGAUUGUAAAGUUCUUUUAUUUAGGAAAAAAAGCGCGCUAGGAAAUGAGCGCGCCUUGAUGGUACUAAUUGAAUAAGUGACAGAAAAU